rnacentral:lncRNA from 1 species
UGUGUGUGUGUGUGUGUGUUUUAUGGCACCCUUAGUGAACUAAUGCACAGACAUUCUAGAAUCCUCUUAAACUUGGCUAGUUCGUCUGCUUGUCUAGGUUGCUUGACUGGUGGGAUAACCUGCAUCUUCCUCCCUGGCGGCAGUGGUGGGGGAGGUGGUCUUAGCCCUGGUUAUCAGGCUUUUGUCCUGUUUGCUGAAAUUGCCAGUUUAUGUUAAUUACCAGGCAUGGGAACACAAGGAAGCACCCCAGGGAAACUCCUGCAUUCCAGAUAUAUUCAUCCUUGCCCCCUUUUUCUCAUGAUACUCACUAACUCCUGUUGGGAUUGGUAUGCCUCUCUUUAUCUGCUGCUGUGUUGGUAUGAGGAAUCCCAAUAGCCCAGGCAUUGGCCAUAGUUUUAUGGAACCCUUUCUAUAUACCCUGGUAUAGGUAUCCCCUGCCAACCUCCUAAAGUCAGGAGUUUUUGUCUGGCAGAGCCUAAAGUUGAAGGGAUGGGAAGCACAAAUUGCCCCUGUGGGUCAGUGGGAGCUAUAGUGACAGACACCACUCUUACCUCUUGGUGUCUGUGAGAAACAAAUUCACCCAUCCAAACCCAAAGAAUGGUCUCAGAGAUCUGGAGAACAUCACAAGUGAGACUUUUAAUGACGGUCUUGCAAGAUCAGGUGUCUGAUGGGCAGGCACACCCAGCACAGUUUCAACAGGCAAUUUAUCCCCUAGUGCACAGGUCCCUCCCCUGGUUCCUCACAGGCUGAGUAUUAUGGGGUCACAAUCUUCCUGGACAUCGCCAGUUGAUUGUUGGGUAAAGGUUUUAGGUAUUUUUUUAGGGUUGUCUCGCUGCAUCUUGUUGCAGCCCACAAUGCAUUGCAAUCCUAGCUCAGGCGCUGUUCAAGUAUUGGACUUAUAACCUAAAUAGCUGGGCAGGCUGACAAGAACAGACAAAAUGAACUAUUGUGCAGGUUGGUAAACUUUCAUCCUAGAUUAAACUGCUUUGGUUCAGCUGAGGGCAACUAAGUUAUGGGGAAGGCGGAGGCCAACAAGCAGGCGUUGGCUAUCCAAGCAGAGGCCUCACAUAUCCUGUUUCUUUUGUAGUUUGCUGAUCUAAGCCAGUUCAAGGCCCUUUGUCUUGGAAAUGGACCACUGUAUACAUAAUUUUCUUCAGUUUCCAGACUGUUUUCCACCUAUUGGAGUCAUAACAUGCAGUAACAGAUUGUGGCCAUAUAAACACCAAUACCUCAUCAUCAGGGCCAGCACCCCUACUUUGCAAGGUAUUAUUCUCAAGCUGUUGCACCUUUAAGAGGACAUUCCAGUGAUUCUGUCAGGACAGCAGCUUCUAGGUGAUGCGGUACACAGUAGACAAAGGGGAAUUGAUGGGCAUUUGUCCAUUGUUGUACCACCUUUGCCGUAAAGCGAAUAUCUCUUAGUGUAAGAUUUGCGUUCUCAGCCAGCUGUGGUGGCUCAUGCCUGUAAUCCCAGCACUUUGGGAGGCCGAGGCAGGUGGAUCACGAGAUCAGGAGUUUGAGACCAGCCUGAUCAACAUGGUGAAACCCUAUCCCUACUAAAAAUACAAAAAAUUAGCCAGGCGUGGUGGCAUGCAUCUGUAGUCCCAGCUACUCAGGAGGCUGAGGCAGAAGAAUCGCUUGAACCCAGGAGGCAGAGGUUGCAGUGAGUCGAGAUCACACCACUGCACUCCAGCCUGGGUGACAGAGCGAGACUCUGUCUCAAAAAAAAGAAGAAGAAAAAAAAAAGAUUUGCAUUCUCAACGGGGGCAGUAUUGCCACCAGGGGGGUGAAAAUUGGUUAUUGAGAGACAAAACAAACCUUACUAUUUUUAUGUAUAAAGCAUAGAUAAACACACAUUGCUUAAAAAGAAAUACAGCUGUGCACGCUGGCUCACGCCUGUAAUUCCAGCAAUUUGGGAGGCCAAGGCGGGCAGAUCACGAGGUCGGGGGUUCAAGACCAGCCUGGCCAACAGGGUGAAACCCCGUCUCUAUUAAAAUACAACCAAUUAGCUGUGCGUAGUGGCAGGUGCCUGUAAUCCCAGCUGCUCAGACGGCUGAGGCAGGAGAAUCGCUUGAACCCAGGAGGUGGAGGUUGCAGUGAGCCGAGAUUGUGCCGCUGCACUCCAACCCUGGCAAUAGAGUGAGACUCUGUCUCAAAAAAAAAAAAAAAAA